GCUACAUUUUACCUGUGGGGUUUUUAACCAAACAUCACUGGUAAACAAAUUCUCAAUGAGAAAUAACUUCUUUCUCUGCUUUUGUAUAUGUGCAUUUUAGCAUGUGUACAGGAAAGAACCCAAGAAGAUGUUCAUUUUGCUGCAUGAUCAGAAUGGAUUUCCAGGAGGGAUGCUGAUCCCUGUACAAGCCCUUCAGGUUGUCCUUCAAAAUGUCAACUGUUAGUUAUUCCAACCAAAUGUAUAGUUAAAAGCAGACCAACUAGCAAAGUUGCUGGAAUAGUAGGAAGCGGUAUAGCCCAGUUUCCCCAACAACUACUACCACAAAGAUCUGAAAAGACCGCCAGACUAAAGAGCCAUCAGGAAAUCAAAGGGGAUCAUAAUUUCAGCCAAUGAUGAGCAUGAAUUUGUCCACAGAUUUCAAUUUUUAAGUCAGCGAAAGAAAAGAAAAAACAAAAACAAAAACCUUGUACCAAUUGCUGACAAGGACCUUGGAGUAAGAAGAAUGAGGAAAUCUCAGAAUUUCAGAAUCCCAGAGUAAGAGGGAACUUCCAGCAUUAUCUGGGCUGGACUUUGUUAACUUGGAGUCUUUGAAUUGAUACCUGCAUUUCAUUAUAAUUGAAUUUAUAAUCCUAUGGCUUGUGUCUUACAUAUUUAAAAAUGUUCUUU